AAAUAUAAGUUCAAAGAAUCACAGGGGUUGGAAGGGACCUCUGGAGAUCACCUUGUCCAACCACCCUGCUAAAGCAGGUCCUUACAGCACAGGAAAGCAUCCAGACGUGUACUGAGUAUCUCCAGAGAAGGAGAUUCCACAAGCUCCACUGGGCAGCCGGCCCAGUGCUCGGACACCCUCACAGAAAAGAACUUCUUUCUCACGUGCAUAUGGAACUUCCUGGUUUCCAGGUUGCACCUGUCACCCCUCGUCCUGUCACCAGGCACCACCAAAAAGAGGAUGUCCCCAUCCUCUCAACACUCACUCUUCAGGUAUUUCUAAGCAUUGAUUAUGGACGCCAGGAGCUCUAACUUGGUAACAUGGGAAGCCAUAUAAAAAAAUCAGAAACAAGAUUCAGAAAACAGAAAAUUGAGAAGAUUCUAGAACGGGGAUUUUAAUUCAUCCUGAAGAGAAUGCAGCUGGUAUCUUUUCUCAAGAAGAAACAUUAUCAGAACGAAUACAGAUACAUCUACCACAAAAUUCUCACUCUGCAGACACUCUGCUGUACUACAUUUCAUAGGACUGGAUCUCUGCAGCUGCUUUAGUGAAACGUCACGUGAACCUGCUUCUCUACAGAUGGUUCCAUGAUGAAUCCCAUUAUCACAAUAUAUGAAAGUCACACUUUU